CAGAUUAAAUAACAUCAACUUUCAGUGUGUCUUAGUUAUCUUUAAAAAGAAUACAGUGGUGGGAUUGUUACAAAAAACUAGAUAAGUGACUUUUCACGUAUCUUUAAAAUCAUAUUUUUAUAUACUUUAUGUAACUUAUAUUUUAUAUACUCCUUGUGUCGUAAAAAGACAACAUUUUAUAAUUUCUGAGAAAGUGAUAACUAAGACUUGGGACGAUUGUAGCAAAAGUUAAAAGAGUCAAUGUUGAAUGAUCAAAAAACCCUUGGAGACGCGCGCUAAAAAAUUAAAUAUGGAAGAUAAAGUGGAGAAAGUGGAAUUACUUCAGAAUACGCAAAGCAAAUUAUCAGCACGACUCA